UAAUAAGUGUUUUAUGGCACUUUUUAAGUCCAUAUCCACCUUGUGUGCAAUGUCAGUCGAUCUUCUUCACGGAGAUCGACCAAACAUCAACCUUUAUCUUUUAACUCUUUGUCUGAAAAAUAUUAUGAAUAAACAAUUCAAAAUA
rnacentral:misc_RNA from 1 species